CGGGAGGAAGAAGGGUGGAGUCAGGGGAGACCAUGGACCUGAAGCUGGAAGUAGAUAUGCAUAAACUUUGCUGGAUGAAGGUCAAGCAGGAUUUUUUCCAGAAUGUCUGGUUAGAUAUCUACAGCAGAGGAAUGCCAGACAUGAUGACAUUGCAGGCACGGAUGACUCCAUAAGAGAAGCAUAAAGAGGUUCAUGACCUCUUCAUACCACCAUGCUGCAGGCCUAGGAAAUAGGUACCUGAACCAAUGUUCCUGACUUACUACAACUUGCUGCAGUCUGAGAAGGGAAAGAAGACCACGGUGAUGAAUGGAUGAAGAUCAAGCAAGAUGGCUUCCAGAAUGUCUGGUUAGGAAUGUCAGCCCUAAUGACAUUGCAUCCACUGAUGACUCCAUAGAAGAAGCUGAAAGAGGUUCCUGAACUCAUGAUCCUGGCUUUCUUAUACCACCAUGCUGCAGGCUAAGGAAAUGGAUAACUGAAACAAUAUUCUGAAUUACUACAACUUGCUGCAGUCUGAGAAGGGAAAAAAUGUGGUGAUAAUUAGUGAUUCCCAGCCUCUUGAUGGACUUGCUGCAUAAACUUUCAGACCUAGUAAGUCCUUUUUACCUUGGAGAUAGACCAGAAAUGCAGACUGAACAUUGGACUGUACUUCUCUUUGUGAGACAGAACUUAUUUUGCCAGUAUGAUAGUCAAAUUGCUGUUGAAAUGUAGGACCUUAGAACUGAGACCUCAAUUUUCCCCUUAGGGGGAAAAAAUCCUCACAAACAGUGAGUGAAGCUCCUGUUCAAAAAUGAGGAGGCGAGCCUAAGGGGUUGCUGCUGCUGCUCUGAGACUGGGACAAUUACUUAAAAGGGACAAUGCAAUUGGACUCUCACCAAUCAGAGAAAUCUUUUCUUGUCUUUUGAUUAGAACGGUUUUUAAAGAAUUGUGAUUUGACAAAUUGUAUGUUUAUUAUUAAUUUCCACUCCAGAAAUUAUGGUAUUGACCUGUUAAUGUUCUUAACUGCUUUAGUUCACCAUAAGAUGUUAAAAAAAAAAGGUUGACAUUUGCAAUGAGUUUAUAGAUCUGGCAUAUUUGAUAAGAAAUUUAUGUUUUGAUACAGCUAAAAAUGUUAAGAAACACUCUAGAUCAAUUGAAAAGGGCAUUCCCAAUCCUGGUGAUCCUCCAUUCCUAUGAUUAGGAGAUACUAUAGCCAUAGGAGCAUGUAUAUUUACAAAGCAUUAUCUGAUUGCUGAUGAGCUCUCUUGACAGAAACAUGGCUCAGAGAUACAUACAGAGUUCAGAUGUACUUUAUCCCUUUGCUUACAGAAAUUGGCAGUCAAAGAUAGGUUUGAUCCUUUUCCCCCCAGGCACCUAAGAAUGGGUAAGUCUAGGAAACAGGAAAGUGUUCACCUAAUAUAUGUCCUGUUGCAGAAGCACAGGCUUUAUUAAAGUUAAUAAAAAGGGAACACUUUUAGAGGCCCAAAAAUGUAAGGUUAUUUCCACCUUGUCUGAUGGCCAGAGAGUUUGGAGGUUGCUCAAAAUCAUUGACAACAAGUGUAGCUACAUGUCCCGACUCAGGAUGUGGUUACUUGGUUCUUUUGACAUUACGAUGGCUCAUACAAGUAGAUCCAUUCCAUCUGGAUCCAUCCUGACAGAUGGUCAGACUAUGAAAACAUACUUCUGCUCUUCUUUUGCAAUAUGAAAUUACCUGGGGAGUGGCUGCUUUCAGAAUACUUGCUCUAGAAUGACUUCUCUGCCUUAACAACAGAGUGCUAAGUCUCAAUGUAUUAACACUAUAAACUGAGUUGUCCUUUGGAUCAUGUCAAAGAAGUCUUCUGUUGACUUCUUCCCUCUUUUGUCUUGAGGUAUAAAAGCAUAUGAAAAAUUAAACAUGAGCAAUGUCAGUAUU